GUCAGCAUGGAGCCUGACGCGGGGCUCGAACUCACGAACCGUGAGAUCGUGACCUGAGCCGAAAUCAAGAGUCUGUCGCUUAACUGGCCGAGCCCCCCAGGCAGCUCACGUGUUUGUGGGUUC